rnacentral:tRNA from 1 species
UGUUCUGUGGCUUAAUUCAUUCAAGCGCCCGUCUAUCGAUUACGAAGUCGUGGGUUCAAAUCCCAUCAGAACAC